rnacentral:rRNA from 1 species
UACAGAGGUGGCAAGCGUUGUUCGGAAUUACUGGGCGUAAAGGGCGCGUAGGCGGCCAUCUAAGUCAGACGUGAAAUCCCCCGGCUUAACCUGGGAACUGCGCCUGAUACUGGAAGGCUCGAGUUUGGGAGAGGGAUGUGGAAUUCCAGGUGUAGCGGUGAAAUGCGUAGAUAUCUGGAGGAACACCGGUGGCGAAGGCGGCAUCCUGGACCAACACUGACGCUGAGGCGCGAAAGCUAGGGGAGCAAACGGG